AUGUUCACUUCCUCAGCACAUGUACAAAAACUGGAAAAAUAAAGAGAUUAGCCUGGUCCCUGUGCAAGGAUGACAUGCAAAUUUGUGAAGUAUUUUGUAUUUAU
ensembl:snRNA U6 U6 spliceosomal RNA